UGGGGAAUUUUGGACAAUGGGCGAAAGCCUGAUCCAGCAAUGCCGCGUGUGUGAAGAAGGCCUUCGGGUUGUAAAGCACUUUUGUCCGGAAAGAAAUCCUUGGCUCUAAUACAGUCGGGGGAUGACGGUACCGGAAGAAUAAGCACCGGCUAACUACGUGCCAGCAGCCGCGGUAAUACGUAGGGUGCAAGCGUUAAUCGGAAUUACUGGGCGUAAAGCGUGCGCAGGCGGUUUGCUAAGACCGAUGUGAAAUCCCCGGGCUCAACCUGGGAACUGCAUUGGUGACUGGCAGGCUAGGGUAUGGCAGAGGGGGGUAGGAAUUCCACGUGUAGCAGUGAAAUGCGUAGAGAUGUGGAGGAAUACCGAUGGCGAAGGCAGCCCCCUGGGCCAAUACUGACGCUCAUGCACGAAA
rnacentral:rRNA from 1 species